CUUGCGACCCGGCGUUGUCCGCGGUGCUCAGCGCCCGCCCGGGCGCGCCAUGGGGAACCGCAGCACCGCGGACGCGGACGGGCUGCUGGCUGGGCGCGGGCCGGCCGCGGGGGCAUCUGCGGGGGCAUCUGCGGGGCUGGCUGGGCAGGGCGCGGCGGCGCUGGUGGGGGGCGUGCUGCUCAUCGGCGCGGUGCUCGCGGGGAACUCGCUCGUGUGCGUGAGCGUGGCCACCGAGCGCGCCCUGCAGACGCCCACCAACUCCUUCAUCGUGAGCCUGGCGGCCGCCGACCUCCUCCUCGCUCUCCUGGUGCUGCCGCUCUUCGUCUACUCCGAGGUGAGCCGCGUCCGG
rnacentral:lncRNA from 1 species